rnacentral:rRNA from 1 species
GGAAUAUUGCACAAUGGGGGAAACCCUGAUGCAGCGACGCCGCGUGAGUGAAGAAGUAUCUCGGUACGUAAAGCUCUAUCAGCAGGGAAGAAAAAAGGUCUUUGGCUUUGGACGUUACCGCACUAAGAAGCCCCGGCUAACUACGUGCCAGCAGCCGCGGUAAUGCGUAGGGGGCAAGCGUUAUCCGGAUUUACUGGGUGUAAAGGGAGCGUAGACGGCAGCGCAAGUCUGGAGUGAAAUGCCGGGGCUAAACCCCGGAACUGCUUUGGAAACUGUGCAGCUAGAGUGCGGGAGAGGUAAGAGGAAUUCCUAGUGUAGCGGUGAAAUGCGUAGAUAUUAGGAGGAACACCAGUGGCGAAGGCGGCUUGCUGGACCGUAACUGACGUUGAGGCUCGAAAGCGUGGGGAGCAA